rnacentral:rRNA from 1 species
GAUGAACGCUGGCGGCGUGCUUAACACAUGCAAGUCGAACGAAGCACCUUGAUUUGAUUCUUCGGAUGAAGAUCUUGGUGACUGAGUGGCGGACGGGUGAGUAACGCGUGGGUAACCUGCCUCAUACAGGGGGAUAACAGUUAGAAAUGACUACUAAUACCGCAUAAGACCACCGUACCGCAUGGUACAGGGGUAAAAACUCCGGUGGUAUGAGAUGGACCCGCGUCUGAUUAGGUAGCUGGUGGGGUAACGGCCUACCAAGCCGACGAUCAGUAGCCGACCUGAGAGGGUGACCGGCCACAUUGGGACUGAGAUACGGCCCAAACUCCUACGGGAGGCAGCAGUGGGGAAUAUUGCACAAUGGGGGAAACCCUGAUGCAGCGACGCCGCGUGAGCGAUGAAGUAUUUCGGUAUGUAAAGCUCUAUCAGCAGGGAAGAAAAUGACGGUACCUGACUAAGAAGCACCGGCUAAAUACGUGCCAGCCGCCGCAGUAA